rnacentral:lncRNA from 1 species
GAAUGUGAAGUACUCCACAGAGAAAGGUGCUGCAUCUCUGUGAGUUUACCAGUGAAGUCCCCAUCUUGUGUGGAGUACAACUGUGCCAGGACUACUCCUGUGGAGUCUGCGGGACAAUGCCGGUCACCUCGCCGAAACCAGACCCGAGAAUUGUAUUCUGGGCCCAGGAAAGAUCAGGAACAAUUAGCUGUUCCUAGAGAUGGGGAGGUGUUGGGGCACAAGAGGACGGGCGGCAAAAGUGCUGACCCUGAGCCCCGGCCUGUGAAGUCCUGAAGGUGAUCCUGAAGGUGACAUGCUGAAGAC